GGCUACAAAAUAUUUUUAGUGAAUGUUUAAAAUUGUUUAUAAAUGCUGAUAUAUAAUUAUAAAUAAAGAAAUUUGGUCAAAAUGCCCCAGUCAAUAGUUCAGAGCGGAGAUGAGGAUGUAUUUCGUACACUAAAACGCAAACGAAAAUCUGAAGGAUGUUUGGAACACACUGCAGAUGUUACUACUGACAGAAAUACUUGCUUUACCAAUUCGGCUUUCAGCUCUACGCCGAAAAAAGUUGUGCUACGCAGGCGUGCACAAACCCCAUUAACGGAUGUUGUUCUACAAGAUCCUUGCAUGGAAGUGAAAUCAAUUUCAGAUAUAAUUAAAGGCCCAGUUGAAAAGACAAAUUCGACUAAAAUUGGUGGUGAUGUGCUUUCGCAAAAUCCAUACGAAGUUCAACGCAAACCACCCAAGAAGAAAAAACGUGAAUCGGAAAUAGUUGAAGCAUGCUUUGAAAAUCCAGCAUUGAAUUUAGAGCUGCCUGAAAAACAAUUUAAUCCAUAUGAAGUUUUACGUGAUGUGCCAGCACAACUAACUAAUGUUGCUGAAGGUAAUUGUUUUGUAAAUGCAGCCUUAAAUCUACGAACACAGGAUGUAACUGCAACAAGAAACCCAUUUGAGAUCCAACGUUGCCAAAGCGUUGCGACAACUACUUCUUCUGACGGCGUUGAAAACACUGGUAUGGAAGUUGGCCAAGUAGUUCCAACUGAUUUAAAAAUAUCAUUGCCUUUUAAGCCUACUGUUGGUUGUCGCAUAGAUUUCACCAAUAUACCUAUAGAAGAGCUAACGCCUAGCAAGCUGCUGGCGGAUAAAUUAGUAUUUUCACCAGUCUUAAUGUUGCCGAAACGUUCAUUGGAUUCCGCAAGUGAGGAUAGUAGUAUGGAUAUAGGUAAAGAGUUAGAUCGUUAUCAGCUGGAGCUGGAGAAUAGUAUCAAUGAGGCGAAAAUGCGCAAGGCUAUAGGUCCUUGUACGAAAUCGACUUUAAAUGUGAACAUCGAGCAAAAAAUUACAUUCAACCAAAGAUUGGCCGAAAUAGCCGAAGAAGAUGAAGAAAAUGAUUUCAAUAAAGAAGAUGUGGAAAAAACUAAUACUUUGCAUGAGUGUACAAUUCAAUCUCAUAUUGAAUUGACUGGUAAAAUACAAACUGAACAAGUUGAAAGAGAAUCAUGUACGGUUGAAGAAUUAAAGAACGAAGAUGUUGCAUAUGCCUCUGACUCGGAUGAGGACGAAAUUGACUUCAAGGCGCCGGCACCAUUUGUGCGUGCAUACCAACGCGCUGCAACAACACAAAGCAAAGAGUCUUUGCACUCCAAUGGUUCAAACGACUCAACCGAUCACAAGAAACCUCUGAAUGUACGUAAUUUAAUACGUAAAUCUUUACGGAAACUGAUGCAUCCAUCCAAGCAUGAUGAUUUAUUUAAGACUAAUUCUGAUGAGAACGAAAUAUUAAACAUUGAAAUGGGUGGAAAGGACAAGCAACAUGCCAGCGCAUAUAAAAUUAUACGAAAUGGUUUAAGACGCAAAACAACCAUCAAACCUUUAAAUACUGCUCGGGAAACGCCGACUGCAAAAGCGGAAAUUUCCAUAAUGGAUACCAGUGAACGCAGAAUGAAACUUACUGCAAUGAUUUCAACGAAUACAGAAGCUCUGCUUCAAGUACUACCUACAUUUUUCAACGCUUUCGCUUUAUAUAUUGAAUAAAUCAUCAAUAACACUACAAGUUCUAAGUAUGGAUGGCUACAAUAGCUUUUUCUGCAAUAAUUGAAAUAGUUCCAAACGAAUUUAAAUGAAAGCAUGAUGAUAACAAAGUAAACUUAUCGAUAUUUUUAUCGACUAACAUUUCUCUAUCCUAUGUGCAUAUUUGCCGCCCUUUUAAUCCAUGUUUAUUGAAGUUGAAGCAAAAUUACUUGGAAAUGGUAUGAAUGCUGUAACUCAAGGGCAAUGCCAGUGUUUAUGAUGCCUAUGUGCAUAUUUGCUGGCUUUUUUACGUAUGUUCAGUGAUAACUAAGAAAAAUGAACUGGAAAAUUAGGAUAACUGGAAAUCAAGUGUGUUCCUGUGGCAAGGCUCAAUUUGAGACUGACUUCGUGUGUGUGCAGAAACUGGAGCUUAAAGCGGUGACUCUUGCUUACAUGUAAAGACCAAAAAAUUAUUGGAAAAGACGAAAAAUGCUUAAAAAUAUCACAAUUGUGUAAAAUAAAGUGUAAACUACUGAUAAAAGUAAAAAUUAUGAAGCAAAUUAACAGAAAACUGCAUAAACAUCUUUAACAAAGUUUGUUCGAUUCCGUGAAAAACUGCACUUCAUGUUUGUGCACUUUUGAUCAUGAAGUAUUUGUAGAAGUUUGAACCAACUAAAAUGUAAUAACAAUGAAAAAUGUCAUAUUGUGCGCGCUUAUGCAAAAAAUAAUGCAAAAUAGUAAAUCGCAAUAAUUAAAAUAUAUACAUAAGUGAAAAUGUAAAUAAUGUGUGUGCAAUU